AGUGAACGCUGGCGGUAGGCCUAACACAUGCAAGUCGAACGGCAGCACAGUAGGAGCUUGCUCUUACGGGUGGCGAGUGGCGGACGAGUGAGGAAUACAUCGGAAUCUACUUUUUCGUGGGGGAUAACGUAGGGAAACUUACGCUAAUACCGCAUACGACCUACGGGUGAAAGCAGGGGAUCUUCGGACCUUGCGCGAUUGAAUGAGCCGAUGUCGGAUUAGCUAGUUGGCGGGGUAAAGGCCCACCAAGGCGACGAUCCGUAGCUGGUCUGAGAGGAUGAUCAGCCACACUGGAACUGAGACACGGUCCAGACUCCUACGGGAGGCAGCAGUGGGGAAUAUUGGACAAAGGGCGCAAGCCUGAUCCAGCCAUACCGCGUGGGUGAAGAAGGCCUUCGGGUUGUAAAGCCCUUUUGUUGGGAAAGAAAAGCAGCAGGUUAAUACCCCGCUGUUCUGACGGUACCCAAAGAAUAAGCACCGGCUAACUUCGUG
rnacentral:rRNA from 1 species